AUGGGGAUUCUGCAGCUCCUCUCUCUGCUAAUGGGGCUGCUGGCCACUGCCCUCUCAGGUGCAGAGGGCAGAUUAGUGGAGCAGUCAUCCCCAUAUUUAAUGGUGCGGUUGGGAGCAUCAGAGUCAGUGACCUGCACCUUGAAGGACACAACCUACCCCUGGAUGAGCUGGUACCUGCAGGAUGCCCAAGGCCAGAUGCACUUCCUGGAAUCUUUAAGAAACAAAGGUGAUACUGGUAACACAUUCAGGAUGGGAACAUCCUAUCAGACUGAACGGGUCAGUGAUACAGAGCUCAGGCUGGAGAUGAAGAAUGUGACUCAGUCCCAGAUCAUCUACUGCACCUGCAGCAAAGGGCACAGUGAGAGAACAGAGCAGAAAUGGUGA